rnacentral:rRNA from 1 species
GAUGAACGCUGGCGGCGUGCCUAAUACAUGCAAGUCGAGCGAACAGAUGAGGAGCUUGCUCCUUUGACGUUAGCGGCGGACGGGUGAGUAACACGUGGGUAACCUACCUAUAAGACUGGGAUAACUUCGGGAAACCGGAGCUAAUACCGGAUAACAUUUGGAACCGCAUGGUUCUAAAGUGAAAGAUGGUUUUGCUGUCACUUAUAGAUGGACCCGCGCCGUAUUAGCUAGUUGGUAAGGUAACGGCUUACCAAGGCGACGAUACGUAGCCGACCUGAGAGGGUGAUCGGCCACACUGGAACUGAGACACGGUCCAGACUCCUACGGGAGGCAGCAGUAGGGAAUCUUCCGCAAUGGGCGAAAGCCUGACGGAGCAACGCCGCGUGAGUGAUGAAGGGUUUCGGCUCGUAAAACUCUGUUAUUAGGGAAGAACAAAUGUGUAAGUAACUGUGCACGUCUUGACGGUACCUAAUCAGAAAGCCACGGCUAACUACGUG